UACCAGACUCCUACGGGAGGCAGCAGUGAGGAAUAUUGGUCAAUGGGCGCGAGCCUGAACCAGCCAAGUCGCGUGAGGGAAGACGGUCCUAUGGAUUGUAAACCUCUUUUGUCGGGGAGCAAAAGACGCCACGCGUGGCGUUCCGAGAGUACUCGAAGAAAAAGCAUCGGCUAACUCCGUGCCAGCAGCCGCGGUAAUACGGAGGAUGCGAGCGUUAUCCGGAUUUAUUGGGUUUAAAGGGUGCGCAGGCGGAAGAUUAAGCCAGCGUUAAUAUUGGGGGGCUCAACCUCUUCGAGCCGUUGAAUCUGGUUUUCUUGAGUGAGUGAGAAGUAUGCGGAAUGCGUGGUGUAGCGGUGAAAUGCAUAGAUAUCACGCAGAACUCCGAUUGCGAAGGCAGCAUACCGGCGGCGAUCUGACGCUGAGGCACGAAAGCGUGGGUAUCGCACAGGAUUAGAUACCCGAGUAC
rnacentral:rRNA from 1 species